AAUUCCUGUCUGGGAAUUGUCCUGUGCUCCAGCCAUGGCUAGGACUCAUGCGGAGGGAGUCUCCCAGAGCCUUGUGAAGCCCUUCUCGCUGUCCCGGGCUUUUGUUGGCAGCCUCCUCCUUUGAGGAGAUGCCUGCUGCAUCUGUCACUGCAGCCCUGGCUCUGGAGUGGGCGGUGGCAGCCUGAGGAACCCAUUUAUCUCCCGCAGGCUGGAAGUGUGCUAUGAGGUUCCUGGCAGAGCAAGACUUCAUCUCCCCGGCCUCCUCCAUCCGUCUCCCAGUGUGCCUUUGUUUUGAAUCAUUUUUGCAUUCAAUUUAAGAAGAGAAAGAAGAGGCUGAGAUGAAGGAAGGAGGGACUCCAGCAGCUCUGUCACUGUGCCGUCGUCCUCCACGGAGACCACUUUCACCGGGACAGCCACCGUCUUCCCCGUGAGGAUGGCUGUGUUCAGGAUUUCUGCCUCCUGGAAGACCAAACACACCCUUCCAUCACAUCCCCUCCUGAGACAGCCCAGUGCCCGGGAUUUACGGAUGGCCCAGAGAGGUUUUGUCACUUGCCCAGGGUCACCCAGCUAGAAAUUAAUGAAGGCAGGAUUUGAACCCGGGAAGUCCAGCUCCCGAGUCCAUGCAUCAGCUAACUCAAAUACGUCUAAACGUGGACAUGAUGACGGUAGCUUAAGCCGCCGAUGGAUGGCCAGAGGGGCCUGGUGUUGUGAAAGCAGCUUGAUGAGCAGCACCGCAUCGCCAGUGUGAGUGCACCAUGCUCACCCUCAGUCACUCCUCUAGAAUUCUGGUUCCUCUAGAAUUCUGGUUCCUCUAGAAUUCUGGUGAUUUUUUAACUGGUGGGGAACAGAAAGAUCAUAGGAGCCCAUUUUUCAGAUAGAGAAAACGGAGCCUCAAGACCCGGGUAAGGAUCAAAAGGAACAAAUGGUACUCUGGAAAAAAGUGGAACAAUGCUGUUUAACUUGCUGGCCUAAACUGGCUCAUCACAAAGGAGAGAGACAGACGAGGGAGCAGUGUGGCCACUUCUGACAUCAUUCUCAGGGAACACAAUUUCUCACAUUUGUGGUAAAAAGUGAAGAGCAUCUCCACUCUAACGAUAAAAAUCAAAAGGUCUUUCAUGUUUUUGCACGUUCAGGUUAAUAUAAUGAGAAAUGACGCUGGGAAUGACUGAUGAGCAGCUGUAAGCCCAUAUGUCUGGGGUGUUGCCUUUUUCUCUGAAUAGCAUACGCGUUUCUGCCCACCAAGAUCUCAGUGUGGCUGAGUGACUGAGCCUUCAGGCUUGGUAUUUCCCUGCCUCCUCUGUGUAUUUCCAAUUCUUUGACGUCAAGAAUUUUCUCUUUUGCACAGCUUUGCCUUUUCCAGGAGGUGAAUCGUACGGGGAUGACUCACAAAAGUCUUCAGAUAAGAGGAGGACAAAAGAGACCCUUGUUCAGUGGCAGAAGUACCUGCAAAGCCUUAGCUUUGCUUGAGAUAUGACCUAUAACUGCUCUGAUUUUUGGACCCCAGAAAACCCUUGAAAGCUCAGCUUCCUUAUUGCUGUGUGUUCACCUUAUCAUAGCACCUCAGAGCCUAGGAAAUAAAGGCACAGUCUCUCUUUACAAAA
rnacentral:lncRNA from 1 species